rnacentral:rRNA from 1 species
GAUGAACGCUGGCGGCGUGCUUAACACAUGCAAGUCGAACGAACCUUCGGGUUAGUGGCGGACGGGUGAGUAACGCGUGAGAAUCUGCCCUCAGGAGGGGGAUAACGGUUGGAAACGACCGCUAAUACCCCAUAUGCCGAGAGGUGAAAAGAAAUUCGCCUGAGGAUGAGCUCGCGUCUGAUUAGCUAGUUGGUGUGGUAAUGGCGCACCAAGGCUUCGAUCAGUAGCUGGUCUGAGAGGAUGAUCAGCCACACUGGGACUGAGACACGGCCCAGACUCCUACGGGAGGCAGCAGUGGGGAAUUUUCCACAAUGGGCGCAAGCCUGACGGAGCAACGCCGCGUGAGGGAUGAAGGCCUC